rnacentral:rRNA from 1 species
AUGAACGCUAGCUACAGGCUUAACACAUGCAAGUCGAGGGGCAGCAUUUCAGUUUGCUUGCAAACUGGAGAUGGCGACCGGCGCACGGGUGAGUAACACGUAUCCAACCUGCCGAUAACUCGGGGAUAGCCUUUCGAAAGAAAGAUUAAUAUCCGAUGGUAUAUUUCUCCCGCAUGAGAGAGAUAUUAAAGAAUUUCGGUUAUCGAUGGGGAUGCGUUCCAUUAGUUUGUUGGCGGGGUAACGGCCCACCAAGACAACGAUGGAUAGGGGUUCUGAGAGGAAGGUCCCCCACAUUGGAACUGAGACACGGUCCAAACUCCUACGGGAGGCAGCAGUGAGGAAUAUUGGUCAAUGGACGAGAGUCUGAACCAGCCAAGUAGCGUGAAGGAUGACUGCCCUAUGGGUUGUAAACUUCUUUUAUAUGGGAAUAAAAUGUUCCACGUGUGGGAUUUUGUAUGUACCAUAUGAAUAAGGAUCGGCUAACUCCGUGCCAGCAGCCGCGGUAAUACGGAGGAUCCGAGCGUUAUCCGGAUUUAUUGGGUUUAAAGGGAGCGUAGGUGGAUUGUUAAGUCAGUUGUGAAAGUUUGCGGCUCAACCGUAAAAUUGCAGUUGAAACUGGCAGUCUUGAGUACAGUAGAGGUGGGCGGAAUUCGUGGUGUAGCGGUGAAAUGCUUAGAUAUCACGAAGAACUCCGAUUGCGAAGGCAGCUCACUAGACUGGUCACUGACACUGAGGCUCGAAAGUGUGGGUAUCAAACAGGAUUAGAUACCCUGGUAGUCCACACAGUAAACGAUGAAUACUCGCUGUUUGCGAUAUACAGCAAGCGGCCAAGCGAAAGCAUUAAGUAUUCCACCUGGGGAGUACGCCGGCAACGGUGAAACUCAAAGGAAUUGACGGGGGCCCGCACAAGCGGAGGAACAUGUGGUUUAAUUCGAUGAUACGCGAGGAACCUUACCCGGGCUUAAAUUGCACUCGAAUGAUCCGGAAACGGUUCAGCUAGCAAUAGCGAGUGUGAAGGUGCUGCAUGGUUGUCGUCAGCUCGUGCCGUGAGGUGUCGGCUUAAGUGCCAUAACGAGCGCAACCCUUAUCUUCAGUUACUAACAGGUCAUGCUGAGGACUCUGGAGAGACUGCCGUCGUAAGAUGUGAGGAAGGUGGGGAUGACGUCAAAUCAGCACGGCCCUUACGUCCGGGGCUACACACGUGUUACAAUGGGGGGUACAGAAGGCCGCUACCUGGUGACAGGAUGCCAAUCCCAAAAACCUCUCUCAGUUCGGAUCGAAGUCUGCAACCCGACUUCGUGAAGCUGGAUUCGCUAGUAAUCGCGCAUCAGCCAUGGCGCGGUGAAUACGUUCCCGGGCCUUGUACACACCGCCCGUCAAGCCAUGAAAGCCGGGGGUACCUGAAGUACGUAACCGCAAGGAGCGUCCUAGGGUAAAACUGGUAAUUGGGGCU